rnacentral:rRNA from 1 species
CAGAGGUCCCAAGCGUUGUUCGGAUUCACUGGGCGUAAAGGGUGCGUAGGCGGUCGGAUAAGUCUGAUGUGAAAUCUCCAAGCUUAACUUGGAAAUGGCAUUGGAAACUACCUGGCUUGAGGUUUGGAGGGGGGACUGGAAUACUUGGUGUAGCAGUGAAAUGCGUAGAUAUCAAGUGGAACACCAGUGGCGAAGGCGAGUCCCUGGACAACACCUGACACUGAGGCACGAAAGCUAGGGGAGCAAACAGGAUUAGAUACCCUGGUAGUCCUAGCUGUAAACGGUGCUUGCUUGCUGUAAAAGGAAUCGACCCCUUUUGUGGCGAAGCCAACGCGAUAAGCGAGCCGCCUGGGAAGUACGGUCGCAAGAUUA